rnacentral:tRNA from 1 species
GCAGUGGUGUUCAGUGGUAGAAUUCUCACCUUCCACAUGGGAGACCCAGGUUCAAUUCCUGGCCUAUGUA